UACGGGAGGCAGCAGUGGGGAAUAUUGCACAAUGGGCGCAAGCCUGAUGCAGCCAUGCCGCGUGUAUGAAGAAGGCCUUCGGGUUGUAAAGUACUUUCAGUCGUGAGGAAGGUGUUAAGGUUAAUAACCUUAGCAAUUGACGUUAGCGACAGAAGAAGCACCGGCUAACUCCGUGCCAGCAGCCGCGGUAAUACGGAGGGUGCGAGCGUUAAUCGGAAUUACUGGGCGUAAAGGGCACGCAGGCGGUUAAUUAAGUUGGAUGUGAAAUCCCCGGGCUUAACCUGGGAAUGGCAUUCAAGACUGGUUAGCUAGAGUCUUGUAGAGGGGGUAGAAUUCCAUGUGUAGCGGUGAAAUGCGUAGAGAUGUGGAGGAAUACCGGGUGGCGAAGGCGGCCCCUGGGACAAAGACUGACGCUCAUGUGCGAAAGCGUGGGGAGCAAGGCAGGGAUUAGGAUACC
rnacentral:rRNA from 1 species